GAUGAACGCUGGCGGCGUGCCUAACACAUGCAAGUCGAACGAAGCUUGACGGAUGAUUUCUUCGGAAUGAAACCAGAUCUGACUUAGUAGCGGACGGGUGAGUAACACGUGAGCAACCUGCCUUUCAGAGGGGGAUAACGGCUGGAAACGGUCGCUAAUACCGCAUGAUGUGUUCGGAUGGCAUCAUCUGAACAUCAAAGAUUUAUCGCUGAAAGAUGGGCUCGCGUCUGAUUAGAUAGUUGGUGGGGUAACGGCCUACCAAGUCUACGAUCAGUAGCCGGACUGAGAGGUUGAACGGCCACAUUGGGACUGAGAUACGGCCCAGACUCCUACGGGAGGCAGCAGUGGGGAAUAUUGCACAAUGGGGGAAACCCUGAUGCAGCAACGCCGCGUGAAGGAUGACGGUUUUCGGAUUGUAAACUUCUUUUCUUAGUGACGAAGACAGUGACGGUAGCUAAGGAAUAAGCAUCGGCUAACUACGUG
rnacentral:rRNA from 1 species